UACGUAGGGUGCAAGCGUUAAUCGGAAUUACUGGGCGUAAAGCGUGCGCAGGCGGCUAUGCAAGACAGAUGUGAAAUCCCCGGGCUCAACCUGGGAACUGCAUUUGUGACUGCAUAGCUAGAGUACGGUAGAGGGGGAUGGAAUUCCGCGUGUAGCAGUGAAAUGCGUAGAUAUGCGGAGGAACACCGAUGGCGAAGGCAAUCCCCUGGACCUGUACUGACGCUCAUGCACGAAAGCGGUGGGGAGCAAACAG
rnacentral:rRNA from 1 species